UACGGGGGGAGCAAGCGUUGUUCGGAUUUACUGGGCGUAAAGGGCGCGUAGGCGGCGCAACAAGUCACUUGUGAAAUCUCCGGGCUUAACCCGGAGCGGUCAAGUGAUACUGUCGUGCUAGAGUGCGGAAGGGGCUACUGGAAUUCUCGGUGUAGCGGUGAAAUGCGUAGAUAUCGAGAGGAACACCUGCGGCGAAGGCGGGUAGCUGGGCCGACACUGACGCUGAUGCGCGAAGGCCAGGGGAGCAAACGGG
rnacentral:rRNA from 1 species